AGCCUUGACCCCAGGCACCCUCGUCUCUCAGCCGGACGACGGCUGAGACAAUGGCCGCAGCACCCACCGCCCUCCCCAGGUCUCAGUCGGUCCCAGACAAGGGCCGCAGCUCACCGCCCUCUCGCCUCUCCCGGGUCUCAGUCGGUCCCCGGCACAGCAGCUGCCGCCACACUGAGGUCACUACACUGCCCUCCGCUCCUGACCCUGCAGCGCCCCCUCCCCCCGAGUCAAAGGCUUAGUGUUCACAGAGGCCACGCAGCCUUCCCGCCCUCCAGGCAGCUCCCACCCAGAGCCCUCCCGCGCCAACCCCUCUGCCCGGCGCUCCUCCCUCCAAGGACGACUCCCCGUGUCCUUCUCCUGACCUGGCUGCUCACGGCCACGCAGCAGACACAGACACUGUACACCCUCAAGGACUCCCGGCCCAUUCACAUGCAUGUCUGUGAUGCUGUGGUCAGCGGUCGCUGGGACCCGCCAACGUGGGCUCCAUGUGCUGAGGCCCCGUGGAGGUGACUGACAGGGCAGCGGGUGCCUCAGCCAAGCCGGGCCCUCUGGGACCAUCAUAGGUAAAGUCUUCCCAUCUGCAAAUGAGAACCCGGGGAUGCUGACCCCGCACCGUCCCCCUGGGACUCUCCGGUGCUCUAUGGGUGGGUGCACGACCCAGGUGGGGAAAAUGGAAGAGAGCAGAGGUCGCCUGGGGGCAGGAGCCCAGGACACCCACCCCGCGACCACACUCAGAGCCGACUCAGCCCAUGGACGGCUGCAGUUUCCUUGUGUGCAGCCCCCAUGAGGAACCUGACUGCACGAGGCUCCUCCAGGGCUCCAUGAGACUCCGUCUCAGGGGCCUUCACCUGCUCUCGGCUUUAAACGAACCACUGAGAAUCACCUGUAACAACCUCACAAAGAAAAUAAAUCUCUGCACGGGCUUCAAGGCUCUGGGGCCAGGGCUGUGGGCUUUUCAAAUCCUGCAGGCUGUGGCCUGGGCAUUUGCCAACUGUCAC
rnacentral:lncRNA from 10 species